GAUGAACGCUGGUGGCGUGCCUAACACAUGCAAGUCGAGCGAUUCUCUUCGGAGAAUAUCGGCUGACGGGGUAGUAACGCGUUGGUAACCUGCCCUGUACACACGGAUAACAUACCGAAAGGUAUGCUAAUACGAGAUAACAUACUUUUAUCGCAUUGUAGAAGUAUCAAAGCUUUUGCGGUACAGGAUGGACCCGCGUCUGAUUAGCUAGUUGGUGAGUUAACGGCACACCAAUGCGACGAUCAGUAGCCGACCUGAGAGGGUGAUCGGCCACAUUGGAAAUGAGACACGGACCAAAAUCGGAAGGAGGGCAGCAGUGGGGAAUAUUGCACAAUGGGCGAAAGCGUGAUGCCGCCACGCGGGGUGAGAGAUGAAGGCCUUCGGGUAGCAAAGCUCUGUCUUAAAGGAAGAUAAUGACGGUAAUUGGGAAGGAAGCACCGGCUAACUACGUG
rnacentral:rRNA from 1 species